rnacentral:lncRNA from 1 species
GUGGAUGAGAGAGCAGUGCUGAAGCACUUCGAGUGGCCGGAGAAGAAAGCCGAUGCCAUGCGAGAGGCUGCAUUUGGGUACAGUGACCUGAAAAAGGUGGAAUCGGAAGCAUCGUCAUUCCGUGACGACGAGCAUCGAAAUUGUAACGCUGCAAUGAAAAAGAUGCAAGCCCUGUUAGAGAAGUAAGUGAAUAAAUUCCAAUUUUCGAAAUAAACCAAUUCUAAAUGAAUAUUUACUUAUGUAUAGAUUGGAGCAUGGACUUUAUAACCUUUCCCGUGUACGAGAGUCGGCAAUUAGAAGAUACAAAAGUUGCCGGAUACCAUGGGAAUGGAUGCUCGACACCGGCUUGGUGUCUCAGAUCAAGUUAGCAUCCGUGAAGCUAGCAACAAAAUACAUGAAGAAAAUUUCUGCAGAGCUGGAAGCUGUAGAUGCCGGAGGCCAAGAGGAAGA